rnacentral:misc_RNA from 1 species
UCUCCGUAGGUGAACCUGCGGAGGGAUCAUUACUGAGUGAGGGUUUAACCGCCCGACCUCCAACCCUUUGUGAAUCGUACUCGUUGCUUCGGGGGCGACCCUGCCGUCCGCGGCUGAGCGCCCCCGGGGUCAAUCAAACACUGCAUUCUCUGCGUCGGAGUUUAACACAAAUGAAACAAAACUUUCAACAACGGAUCUCUUGGUUCUGGCAUCGAUGAAGAACGCAGC